rnacentral:rRNA from 1 species
UACGUAGGGUGCAAGCGUUGUCCGGAAUUAUUGGGCGUAAAGAGCUCGUAGGCGGCUUGUCACGUCGCUGUGAAAACCUGGGGCUCAACCCCAGGCCUGCAGCCGAUACGGGCAAGCUAGAAUUCGGUAGGGGAGACUGGAAUUCCUGGUGUAGCGGUGAAAUGCGCAGAUAUCAGGAGGAACACCGGUGGCGAAGGCGGGUCUCUGGGCCGAUAUUGACGCUGAGGAGCGAAAGCGUGGGGAGCGAACAGG